CCCAUGGUGGGAGGAAGUGGGGAAGAGGGGACAAUGGGCGAAAGCCUGAUCCAGCCAUGCCGCGUGUGUGAAGAAGGCCUUCGGGUUGUAAAGCACUUUCAGUGGGGAAGAAAGCCUUGGGGCUAAUACCCUCGAGGAAGGACAUCACCCACAGAAGAAGCACCGGCUAACUCCGUGCCAGCAGCCGCGGUAAUACGGAGGGUGCGAGCGUUAAUCGGAAUUACUGGGCGUAAAGCGCGCGUAGGCGGUCUGAUAAGCCGGUUGUGAAAGCCCCGGGCUCAACCUGGGAACGGCAUCCGGAACUGUCAGGCUAGAGUGCAGGAGAGGAAGGUAGAAUUCCCGGUGUAGCGGUGAAAUGCGUAGAGAUCGGGAGGAAUACCAGUGGCGAAGGCGGCCUUCUGGACUGACACUGACGCUGAGGUGCGAAAGCGUGGGUAGCAAACAGGAUUAGAUACCCGAGUAGUC
rnacentral:rRNA from 1 species